rnacentral:rRNA from 1 species
GUCUACGGCCAUGCCACCCUGAACUGCCGAUCUCGUCUGAUCUCGGAAGCUAAGCAGGGUCGGGCCUGGUUAGUACUUGGAUGGGAGACCACCUAGGAAGACCAGGUGCUGUAGGCG